CCACAGAGAGAAGCGAAUUCGCAAGGAAGAGCGGAUCUCAAAAAAGUGGUCCCAGUUCGGAUUGUGGGCUGNAACCCGCCCACAUGAAGUCGGAGUUGCUAGUAAUCGCGGGUCAGCAUGCCGCGGUGAAUACGUUCCCGGGCCUUGUACACACCGCCCGUCACACCAUGGGAGUUGGGAGUGCCCAAAGCCGGUGAGGCAACCGAAAGGAGCCAGCCGUCUAAGGCAAGACCAAUGACUGGGGUGAAGUCGUAACAAGGUACC
rnacentral:rRNA from 1 species